UACGAAGGGGGGCUAGCGUUGCUCGGAAUCACUGGGCGUAAAGGGUGCGUAGGCGGGUCUUUAAGUCAGGGGUGAAAUCCUGGAGCUCAACUCCAGAACUGCCUUUGAUACUGAAGAUCUUGAGUUCGGGAGAGGUGAGUGGAACUGCGAGUGUAGAGGUGAAAUUCGUAGAUAUUGGGAAGAACACCGGUGGCGAAGGCGGCGACCUGGUCCGAUACUGACGCUGAGGCGCGAAAGCGUGGGGAGCAAACAGGAUUGAGAUACCCGA
rnacentral:rRNA from 1 species